AACAACAGAGACAAUACCCAACGGAAAACAAUGUCCGGCAUGCUUUUCUUGGUCAAAAACGUGUGAGCCAGAAUUGAUAGAAUGUACCGGAUCAAAUCUCUACUGCUUCAACAUGACCUCAAUAAUAGACGAGACAGAUCAGAUCAUGAUGGGUUGCGCUUCUACGUCGGCCUGCAAUUUUUUCCGGAGCAGAACAGCGUCUCUUUUGAUAGAGGGCGUUAAAAGUGCUGUAUGCGAAUCGACAGAUUCUAGGGGGAUGCGAUCCACCAGCUUCUCGCUUCUUGCCUUCUCUGGGAUCCUACUAAUGAAGUUGUUUUCCUAAGAGGAUUUCGUCCGCUCCAUCUUCAGCCGUGACUCCGUUAUAUCUGAGUUGAAGCGCAAGGAGGUUUCCCCUCUGUC